rnacentral:rRNA from 1 species
AUACGGAGGAUCCGAGCGUUAUCCGGAUUUAUUGGGUUUAAAGGGUGCGCAGGCGGCCAUUUAAGUCAGCGGUUAAAUCGUGGGGCUCAACCCCAUUCUGCCGUUGAUACUGGGUGGCUUGAUUGCGGUCGAGGUUGGCGGAAUUCGUUGUGUAGCGGUGAAAUGCAUAGAUAUGACGAAGAACACCGACUGCGUAGGCAGCUGACCAGACCGCAAAUGACGCUCAUGCACGAAAGUGCGGGGAUCGAACAGGAUUAGAUACCCUGGUAGUCCGCACAGUAAACGAUGAAUACUUGUUUUCGGCGAUAUAAUGUCGGAGGCAAAGCGAAAGCGAUAAGUAUUCCACCUGGGGAGUACGCCGGCAACGGUGAAACUCAAAGGAAUUGACGGGG